AACGAACGCUGGCGGCAUGCCUAACACAUGCAAGUCGAACGAGACCUUCGGGCCUUGUGGCGCACGGGUGCGUAACGCGUGGGAACCUGCCCUUAGGUUCGGAAUACCUCCCCGAAAGGGGUGCUAAUACCGGAUAAUGUCUUCGGACCAAAGAUGUAUCGCCUUGGGAUGGGCCCGCGUUGGAUUAGCUAGUUGGUAGGGUAAAAGCCUACCAAGGCGAGGAUCCCUAGCUGGUCUGAGAGGAUGAUCAGCCACACUGGGACUGAGACACGGCCCAGACUCCUACGGAAGGGAGCAGUGGGGAAUAUAGGACGAUGGGCGAAAGCCUGAUCCAGCAAUGCCGCGUAAGUGAUGAAGGCCUUAGGGUUGUAAAGCUCUUUUACCCGGGAUGAUAAUGACGGUACCGGGUGAAUAAGCUCCGGCUAACUACGUG
rnacentral:rRNA from 1 species